UACGGAGGAUGCAAGCGUUAUCCGGAAUGAUUGGGCGUAAAGCGUCCGCAGGUGGCUAUGUAAGUCUGCUGUUAAAGCGUGAGGCUCAACCUCAUAAGAGCAGUGGAAACUACAUGGCUAGAGUGCGUUCGGGGCAGAGGGAAUUCCUGGUGUAGCGGUGAAAUGCGUAGAUAUCAGGAAGAACACCGGUGGCGAAAGCGCUCUGCUGGGCCGCAACUGACACUGAGGGACGAAAGCUAGGGGAGCGAAUGGG
rnacentral:rRNA from 1 species